rnacentral:rRNA from 1 species
UACAGAGGUCUCAAGCGUUGUUCGGAUUCAUUGGGCGUAAAGGGUGCGUAGGCGGCGCGGUAAGUCGGGUGUGAAAUCUUGGAGCUUAACUCCGAAACUGCAUUCGAUACUGCCGUGCUUGAGGACUGGAGAGGAGACUGGAAUUUACGGUGUAGCGGUGAAAUGCGUAGAUAUCGUAAGGAAGACCAGUGGCGAAGGCGGGUCUCUGGACAGUUCCUGACGCUGAAGCACGAAGGCCAGGGGAGCAAACGGGG